rnacentral:rRNA from 1 species
CAGUCGCCGCGGUAAUACGUAGGUGGCAAGCGUUGUCCGGAAUUAUUGGGCGUAAAGGGCUCGCAGGCGGUUUCUUAAGUCUGAUGUGUAAGCCCCCGGCUCAACCGGGGAGGGUCAUUGGAAACUGGGAAACUUGAGUGCAGAAGAGGAGAGUGGAAUUCCACGUGUAGCGGUGAAAUGCGUAGAGAUGUGGAGGAACACCAGUGGCGAAGGCGACUCUCUGGUCUGUAACUGACGCUGAGGAGCGAAAGCGUGGGGAGCGAACAGGAUUAGAUACCCGCGUAGUCCCUGUCUCUUAUAC